UACGUAGGGUGCAAGCGUUAUCCGGAAUUAUUGGGCGUAAAGCGUCCGUAGAUGGUUUUGUCAGUCUGCUGUCAAAGCACAGGGCUUAACCCUGUAAAGGCAGUGGAAACUACAAGACUAGAGUGUAGUAGGGGCAGAGGGAAUUCCCAGUGUAGCGGUGAAAUGCGUAGAGAUUGGGAAGAACAUCCGUGGCGAAAGCGCUCUGCUGGACUGCAACUGACAUUGAGGGACGAAAGCUAGGGGAGCGAAUGGG
rnacentral:rRNA from 1 species